UUAUCAAUGAAGCAUGGUAAUGUGCACAUAAAUUGAAUUGGGUCUCUAGGCCUGUCCUCUCUGACGCCAUUUGGCCUUGAUUUGGGAGGAUGGUUCCACAGAAAAACA